AGAAAGAAAGAAAGCAAAACACCUGGGCAGCAAGGAUAGCAACAAAACCAAGACAGAAUAUUUCAAUAGUUGAAUGCACAGAGGCAAAGGCGGUAGCAAUGGAUGGACUGGAAGAGAGCUCGAGCAAAGCGGCAGAGGCAGUGCUAGAAAUCCUAAGGACCAGGGGCUGGUCUCUUGGCGGAAUAGAUCAAUUAAACGCCUUGAUCAUAAUUCACUCUGCUUUAUCUGAUGACGGCGACCCUUGCACCGUCGCAAACGCCGUCGAGUCCGAGCUCCUCAACAUGGAUCUUAGAUCCAUCGGACUCAAGUCCUUACCCGACCCGAACCUCCUCAAUAAAACCUCCUAUCUUCAAGGCCCCAAAAUCCUCCAGAUAUCUGCAGUGAGAGAUAUUUCUGUUAGUAGCAUAGAAGGGUUUCCGAAUUCAAGCAAACGGCGACUGUUAAAACUCGGUCUCACUGAUGGGCACAACGAGAUAACUGCAAUCGAAUACUCUUAUAUUCCUUCAAUCCCAAAUGAUAUAGCUCCUGGUUCUAAGGUUCGGUUGGAUAACAAAGCUCCAUUACAUAACGGUAUUGUAUGUUUGAAUCCUAAAGUUAUAACUGUAAUAGGAGGCAUUGUCCAAUCACUUCAUGAAGAAUGGCAAAUGAACCAAAAAUAUUCUGGUUUUUCACGUUCAUCAUUAAGGUUAUCACAGGAAACUGAUAAUGGUGGCCCUCCUCCUUUCGAAAAGUUGCAAAUUGGAGCACCCUCUCGUAGGUCUUCUCGGCAAGCCAUACGAUCGGUUUCUUAUGAAGAGAAGGCAAAUAUUCCAGAGUACUUUAAGUCUACCUCCAACAGCACCAUGCAAAUUAGCACAGAAACUGCUGGAAACACCAAAGUUCUACCUCUUGAUGCUCAAAGAAAAGCAGAUAGUGUUGAUGACAAAGUGAGAGUAGCUUCCCUCAGAACAAGUUACAAAGAAAAUCCUAGAAACUUACAGUGGAGAUCAAAGGAAGAUUAUAAUGGGUCUACCUCCAAGAGCAAUGUGCCUACUGUUGCAAAAACUUCUGGAAAUGCUGAACUAAGGCCAAUGGAUUCAGAGCAGAAAGUAGAUGAUGAUAAGGAAAAAACAGUUUCCCUUAAUGAAAGUCUUGAACAAAAGCCAAAUGACUCUUCUGCUAGACAGAAGGAAGUAAUUGAAACAGUUCCUGUUCAAAAUCAAGCAGCUUCUCAAAAGUUACUUUUGAAAAUGAAUCACCACCCAAAUCAAGGUGAUCGGCAUUCAAAAGGUCAGAGAUAUAGGGGGAAGAAUAAACAAGAAGAAUCACAAGUUUUCACUCUAGAGGAGUGGGAAAAGAGUAAUGCAGGGUCAAGGCGUCUGACAAAAAAUGAUUUUCCGGAUGCUAGUUGUGAUGAGGAUCUUGCAUCAAAGCUUCAAGACCAACUUGAUGUGGAAGAUUUUCAUGUGCAUAGGAGAACUCAUAACAAGGUGGUGGAUGACAUUAAAAUGAGCAUGUUUAGUUAUGAAAGAGAUGGCAACAAGGUUCAUGAAAUGGAACAUGGCGGAAGAGGAAGGGGGAGAGGGAGGGGGGGAGGGUGGGGAAGGGGGGGAGGGAGGAGAAGAUAUAAUUAAAUUCAGUGGAAACUUAUUAUGUUUGUUUACGAUUUUGGAGCUUGGAGCUUGCAAAACUUACGCAGGGUUUUUAACCUUGUGCCAUAGCUGGCCGAUGUUGAUAACUUGAAAAGAAUAUACCAGAAUUAAUCACUAACCUAACUCCUUUGCGGGUCAACCCCGGAUAAUUAUGGUAUCUAUCACAUCCAUCUGAUACACUGACCCCUCCAGCCAUCCUCCCUCUCUCAAAAUAAAGAAAAAGAAAAAUAAGAAGAAAAAGAGGAAGCCAUCCCAUCUCAAACUGAAAUGGAAAAUGUCGUCAUCCAACCGUCAGUAGCGGUGCUAAUCUCUUUUGUAAUCGCGAUUAAAGCUUACAGAAGAAAAUCUCUA